UUGCGUGUAGCGGGAUCUUUAGGGUUCGUUUGGUACUGUUAUAAGAAUAGUGUUGAAUAGGAGUUGUUUGGUAGUGUGUAUAAAAUAACGUUGAAUAGGAGUCGUUUGGUAGGGUGCAUAAAAUAAUGUUGAAUAGGGGUAAUUUGAUAGGGUAUAUACGAGUAUUGUUGAAUAGUGGUUGAAGCAUUGCUGACAUUUCAACGUUGUCCAAAUAUUGUUGUAUUACACUAGUAUUUUUCGCGGGAAGACGAAGAUGCGGUGCUCGUGUUGGAGUAUUUGCCAACGGAUUUGGGAUGUGUUAUUAUAGAAGCGAAGAAAUGGGAGAAUGGAUUGGGUUUAGGUGAGAUUAAGAGAUGGAUGGUACAGAUUUUGUGCGGUGUUGAUGCUUGUCAUAGGAAUUCUAUUGUACAUAGAGAUUUGAAGCCUUUGAAUUUGUUGAUUUCUGAUGAUGGAGUGCUUAAAUUGGCUGAUUUUGGACAGGUAUUUCGUUUUUUAUUUGCUUGUUUUAGCUUAAUGCUAUCGAAAUUGAUUGAUCAAUUGACUAUUUGUGCCCCUUUUUAUGAUAUUUAAGAUUCAUAUUUGAGCUUACGAACUUGAGAACGGCUAAAGUUGUUGUCAUGUGACAAGGAGGUUAGGGUUUCAAGCUGUGGAAUUAGCUUCCUGCAUAUAGGGGUUGUUUAGUAGGGUUUAUAAGAUUUUUGUUGAAUAGAGGUCAUUUGCUAGGGUGCUUAAGAGUAGUGUUGAAUAGGGGUCGUUUGAUAGGGUAUAUAUGAAUAGUGUUGAAUAGGGAUCGAAGCAUUGCAAAUGCUUCAACAUUGUCCAAAUUUUGUAUUACACGAGUAUUUUUGGCGGAAAGAUGCAGAUGUGGUGCUCGUAUUGGAGUAUUUGCCUACUGAUUUGGGAUGUGUUAUUAGAGACGCGAAGAAAUGGGUGAAUGGAUUGAGUUUAGGUGAGAUUUAGAGAUGGAUGGUACAAAUAUUAUGCGGUGUUGAUGCUUGUCACAGGAAUUCUAUUGUGCAUAGAGAUUUGAAGCCUUUGAAUUUGUUGAUUUCGAAUGAUGGAGUGCUUAAAUUGGCUGAUAUUGGAUAGGUAUUUCAUGUUUAUUUGCUUGUUUUAGCUUAAUGAUAUCGAAAUUGAUUUUUCAAUUGGCUUUUUGUGCCAUUUUUAUGAUAUUCAUGAUUCAUAUUUUAGCUUUUACAAACACGGGAACUUGUAAAGUUGUUAUGUGACCUGGAGGUUAGGGGUUCAAGCUAUGAAAUUAGCUUAUCGCGUGUAGUGGGAGCUUUAGGGGUUGUUUAAUAGGUUGUCUGUUUGAUUGGGUAUAUACGAACAGUGUUGAAUAGGGGGCCGAAGCAUUGCAGACGCUUCCACAUUGCCCAAAUGUCAUUGCAUUACAAGAGUAAUUUUGAUGGGAAGAUGACGAUGCGAUGUUCGUAUUGGAAUGUUUGCCUACAGAUUUGGGAUGCAUUAUUAGAGACGCAAAGGAAUGAGAAAAUGGAUUGAGUUUCGGUGAGAUUAAGAGAUGGAUGGUUCAGGCUUCUGUGGUCUUGAUGCUUGUCAUAGGAAUUCUAUUGUACAUAGAGAUUUGAAGCCUUUUAAUUUGUUGAUUUCUGAUGAUGGGAUACUUAAACUGGCGAAGUUUGGACAGGUAUUUUCAAUUUUAUCUGCUUUUUAGUUUAUCGAGGACAUGGCCCUGACCCUAGAUAGGAAUAUAUGUAGGUCGAAGAUUAUGGUACAAAGUUAGAAGGUAUUCAUUUUUAUCCGCUUUUUUUAGCUGAAUGAUAUCAAAAUUAAUCAAAGAAUUGACUAUUUGUUCCAUUUUAAUGAUAUUUAUGAUUCAUAUUUGACCUUACAAACACGGGAACUGGUAGUGUGUAUAAGAAUAGUGUUGAAUAAGAGUCAUUUGGUAGAGUGCAUAAGAAUAAUGUUGAAUAGGGGUCAUUUGAUAGGGUAUAUGCGAAUAGUGUUGAAUAGAGGUCGAAGCAUUGCAGACGUUUUAACCUUGCCCAAAUGUCGUUGCAUUACACGAGUAACUUUGGCGGGAAGAUGAAGAUGCGGUACUCGUCCUGGAAUAUUUGCCUACAGAUUUGGGAUGUGUUAUUAGAGAAGCGAAGAAAUGGGAAAAUGGAUUGAGUUUUGGUAGAUUAAAAGAUGGAAGGUUCAGAUUUUGUGUGGUGUUGAUGCUUGUCAUAGGAAUUCUACUGUAUAUAGAGAUUCGAAGCCUUCUAAUUGGUUGAUUUCGGAUGAUGGAGUGCUUAAAUUGGCCAAUUUUGGACAGGUACUUGUUUUUAUCUGUUUAUUUUAACUGAAUGAUAUGAAAAAUAAUCAAUUAAUUAUGCAUCAAUUGAGUAUUGAUGCCCUUUUAUCAUAUUUCCAAUUCAUAUUUGAGCUUACAAAUAGCAUAAAUGGUAAAAUUGUUAGACAUGUGACCAGGAGGUCAUGAGUUCAAGAUGUGGAAUUAAUUUUUUGCGUGUAGCUAGAGCUUUAGGGGUUGUUUGGUAGAAUGUAUAAGAAUUGCGCCAAAUAGGGGUUGUUUGAUAGGGUGUAUAAGAAUAGUGCCGAAUAGGGGUUGUUUGGUAAGGUGUAUAAGAAUAGUGUUGGAUAGGGUAUAUUGGUUAUGCCACAUAGUGGGAGCUUCAGAGGCUGUUUGGUAGUGUAUAAGAAUAGUACUUAUAGGGUGUAUCAGCAAUAUUAGUAUUAGUUAUGUUAAAGAUUAUUUCGUAUGCAUUGUUUGGUUUGUUGUAUUAAGAAUAGCCUGCAUUGCAUAAUUUUUGGAGAGAAGAUGAAGAUGUGGUGCUUGUAUUGGAAUACUUGCCUACGGAUUUGGGAUGUGUUAUUAGAGAAGUGAAGAAUGGGAAAUUGGAUUGAGUUUUGGUGUGAUUAAGAGAUGGAUUGUGCGGUGUUAAUGCUUGUCAUAGGAAUUCUACUGUACAUAGGGAUUUGAAACCUUCAAAUUUGUUGAUUUCGG
rnacentral:lncRNA from 1 species